rfam:Actinobacteria bacterium 66_15 MPI_scaffold_302, whole genome shotgun sequence.
GGGGGCGACUGGUUUCGACACGGGAGUUCUGAGGGGAGAAGCAGGCCGAGGUCGCCUUACCUCGUUAAACAGGGGCAAAAGACGCUCAAGCGUCGACAAUGAUUUCGCACUCGCUGCCUAAAUAGCGCAGCGACGUCGCCCGGUGAGCGUCCCCGUCACCGGAUCCGACGUCACUAAAGGGGACUGCCGCUGAAGACGUAGCCGGUAUGCUUCAGCGAAAGACCGAACCAGCUAGGAAGGGGCACGCUCGUCACACCGUGUCGCCCCGACCGAACGCCAAGAUGUGACUGAGCCUGGAGAUGCUCCCCAGGGGGCUGUCGUGGACCGGAGUUCGAUUCUCCGCGCCUCCACCA